AGAAAAGUAAGCUAAAACAAGCUAAUGGGUUCAUACCCCAUAAAUAGAGCAUAAACCUCUCUUCUCUG
rnacentral:tRNA from 1 species